GAUUUUAUUUUAUGCAAUUAAUAAUGCGAAUUCUUGUACUCAAAAGUUUUCAAGUAUUAUUUGUUUUGUUAUAUUUCAUUGUGUAAAAUUGUUUUUUUUUAUUUUUAGGUAUCAUGCCAACUUUUUUUAUAUUUCUAAUCGUUACUAUGACACAUAAAAUUGAUGCUAAAAGCAUAACAAUACAGAUUGAUAGUGAUGAUUUAUUAAACAUACUAAAAAAAAUACUCAAUAUCAAUAUUGGCGUCCAGGAUAGGAACGCUGUUAUAAGAAGUGACGUGACAAAAGAGCCUAGUUUAUACAUAAAUCCCUAUCAUCCAGAAGACGGGAUUAAUUUGAAUGAUAUUGAUGAAGCAAAUGUAAAAACUAACAAUAAAACGUAUAAAAAUAAAUUAAAUAGCGAGUUCACUGAUAAGACCAAUGAUAAAAUAGACGACAAAAUUGAUCGAGAUAACACGGCGUACCUGCAAAGUGACAACUAUAUAAGUGACGAUGAAAUAACUGAUAAUAUAUCAGAUAAUGAUUUUAACAAAAGAGGUACAUCAAAAAACAUAACUUUAAAAGGAAAUCCAAUGAAAUUUACUAAAAAUUUCAACAAAAGAUUUAUCAAAAAAUUGUGACAUGUUUUGAAAAACAUUAGGGCCCAACUUCUGUCACUGUGGUUCGAUUAAAUUGUACAAGUUAUCUUAUUUACACUAGUUCUUUUAGCGAUUUUCUUGUU